GGCGGUGUAGCUCAGUUGGUUAGAGCGGCGGGAUCAUAAUCCGCAUGUCCGGGGUUCGAGUCCCUGCACCGCCA
rnacentral:tRNA from 1 species